ensembl:lncRNA
UAGCCUCAAGGUAAAACCCAAUGUGCAAACUAAUUUAACACCUUAUCUUGGAAACAUAGUGAAUGGAUAAUAAGAAUACGGGUUGCACCUCAGUUUGUUUGUUUAAUGUCCUUUGACAAGAAAUAUAAGGAGUUAAGGGCUUUGCUCAAGAGCACAAAAAAGAUCUACAGGCACUAGAUUAUCUGUUUAAGGACAACAUAGGAUGGAAAUGGUGUGGCCGCUCUUCAUGAUGUAUAUAAAUUAAAGGAUAUUUAAUAUCUUCUUUUGCUCUUGUCGAGCAUCAGACAUUUCAAACGGACAAGCAACGAACAAACACUGACCCUGAUGUUAACCACUGCACUGCAUAACUGGAACUGGUUGAGAUGGUUUUGGGACCUCCUUGGCCUCAUUGUUUUUUUGUUGAACAUUAUUCUAGGAGAGAUUGUGGGAAUAUUGGAUACUUAGAAAAGCACCUAAAAUAUGUGAUCGUAGUCUCUUUUCUAAUGUUUCAGAUUAGACUUUUUCAACUCAUUUAACUUACCUCCAACACUCGAACUUGCAAUGACUGCCUCGUGGGUUGCACCUCCUACCAAUCUUCACUUGGAUCCUUUUUUGCCACCUUCCCAUAAAUAGUACCUAUACGGUAAUACUCAUCUACCUCUUGUUACCUUCAACUCUCCUCCAAGGAUAAUUAAUUUCAGUGCUGCUCAAGCUCUUUGGUAACGCCAGCCACCUCCUGAGGUAUAGCUGCUGACCCUCCUGCUCUCUGAGAUCUCAAAAGUUUGGAUGUUAAGAAUGUUAGCAUUCAAACAAACUGCCCAACGUCAUAAACUAUUUAUCAGCUAAACAUCAACAUGUUAGAAUGGUUAUUGUUAGCAUGCAGCGAAAUCCUGCUAUUAUGAACAGAUGGCCAAUGUAUUUAUUGUGGUAUUGUCGUAUUUAAGGGUCUACCCUCUUGGCCUGCCAUUAUUUCCAUAUGACAGUGACAAAAAUAAGCAACAUACUGCGAAUCUCAUUUAAGGUGCCUAGAGGAAGCCAGUUCUUAAAGAAAAUCUCACUCGGAACACAGCAUCUCAAAGCAGCUGGUUAUUUGCAAUAUCCAGCUGUAGGCUCAGUGUUGCCUCUUUUCUGUGGUGUCAAACCAGACUGACCUCAGGCCAGCAGGCUAUCACAAUAGAGAGGGAGCUCAAUCUGUUCCAGGUGUUCAACAGAAGAGGUACACUACAAGGUGUUUCACUAAACCCCCCAAAGAGAAAAAACGUUCUCAUUUUAGCCAGAAAAUUGUAAUCCUAUAUGGGGAUAUGUGAAAGCUGGCAGUUCCAUUCACAGCGCUUCACUUUUUCCACAUUUUGUUAAGUUACAGCCUUAUUCCAUAAUGGAUUAAAUUCAUUUUAUCCCUCAAAACUCCACACACAACACACCAUAAGAACAAAGUGAAAUAUUUUUGAAAAUUUCUUCCUUCCCAUCCUGCUUCCACUGAUCAUCUUUGUUCAGCUGAUUGGACAUGAAUUAGAAAAGCACCUGUCUGUAGCAGGUUCCACAGUUGACCGUGCAUGUCAGAGCACAAACCAAGCCAUGAAGUCCAGGGAAUUGUCUGUAGGCCUGAGACAUACUUGUAUAGAAGCACAGAUCUGCCGAUGGGUAAAGAGGAAUUUCUGCAGCAUUGAAGUUCCCAAUGAGCACAGUGGUCUCCAUCAUCCGAAAAUUGAAGAAGUUUGGAAACACCAGAACCCGCCCAGCCAAACUAAGCGAUUGAGAGAGAAGGGCUUUUGUCAGGGAACGCUGAUGCUCUGUCAGAGUGACCCGAUGACUUUGCUCUGGGAUAACUCUGUGAAUGUCCUUGAGUAGCCCGCCCAUAGCCCCGACUUGAACCUGCUUCUGGAGAGAUAUGAAAAUGCCUGUGCACCUACACUCCCCAUCCAACCUGAUGGAACCUCAGAGGUUCUGCAAAGAAGGAUUGCUUCCAAUUACAGCCUCAGAUAUUAAAGUGCUUCAACCAAGGAUUCAGGUGCAUCCCAAAAGCAUUUUCCAUUUAACAUGUCAAAGUGUUAACAAAUCUUACUGAAUCUACGUGUAGGUUUCACCUAUGGUUUUUAGUGUGGUGAUUCAAUGAUCACUUGUUGAAUGUAUUUCAAUCAUGCGAUUUUAAACAGAGCUUAACACUGCUGCAGUAGGCUUGCUUUUAACCAUAGAAAAAUGAAAACUAUGAAACAAACAAACCUCUGGACAAUAAAACAGGACCCAAAGUUAAUAACACAUACACAGUUGAUUAAAAAGUGAAUUUAUAACAGGCUAAACAGAGCACGAAGGGUAGAAAAGAGGAUUUUCUUCUUUGUUUACUUUUAAUUGAAUCCCGGUUUUAACCCAUUUUCUCAGGACAAACACACACUUAAAUGGGCAACUAGGAACCAAUUCUGACUAUGAACAUUGACAAGUAAUUGCACAAAUGCAUAUACAUUAUAUACAGUCAAAAUAUAACAACUAGGGAUUUUAAUAUUUGUGUGCAUGUGUGUUUUGGUCUGUGUCAAGCACAUUCUUUUGUAAUAAUACCCUCUUCGGACAAAAUGUCUCUUGUCCAAAGGGGGUAUUAAAUGACUCGAAGUAGUCCAAAUAUAUAACAGAUCUCUCUGUAAAAUGCUAUACGUGUGUAUUCGUGCCUAUGGGAAGGGAAGCCAUCCACUAGUGUGAUGCAAAUGUUGGGAUUUGGUUCUUUUAAAAUGAGCAGUUGGUGUUGCUGAUUUUCCGAUUAGAUGCCCUUAAAUCACUAUUGACGAAGUAGACAAAACCAAAUGAGAUGUUUAAAACCGCUCCAGUCGACCCUCAACCUGUGGAAAACUGUUUCGCUGUGGAUGAGUAAAAAAAAAAAACAAUCACCACAUUUGUUGUUGUGGAAAGAUAUGGUUACGUUUGUCUGUUCCAGUCUGCAUGCGUGUUUCUGCGUACUUGCACGCUGACAUAGUGUGAUGCUUCAGUUAGCCAGGGGUGAACACUGCUGAUAGCGGCGUGUUGGUCUCAAGAACAGGAAGUGAGCAGGGUCCAUCUCAGCAGCGAUUGGGUGAGUCACGGACACCCCACGCUGUAGCAGUCAAAGGGUUGAGGCUAAUCAAUACACACGCUCAAACACACACCACAGGCUUAGUAGGCAGGUGUAAUCAGUCUGUGUUUGUGGCAGCUGGCGAUGACAAAUUGAUUCUCUCUUUUUCUCACUCUUUGUUCAUACAUGUUUUUUUACCUUUCCCACCCGCCAUAAGUGUCUGACUGGCUGACUUGGUCUUUGACAAUUUCUCUCCGUUCAUCUGUCUUUCUCUCUCCCACUGCUUAUAUAUAUAUAUAUAUUUUUUUUUUUUUCCCAAUGUCUGCUGUCACUUCCUUCUCCCUCUGCCAGCGCUCACUUUGUGCUUUUCAUCACACACGGUUCCCCAGAGGUUUUCCAUGCUGCCGUCAGUGUCUCACACUCCUGUUUUGUGUUAGUCUGUUUUUCCACAAUGCACCUGUUAGGUUCCUUAUCGGGUUGUUGACAUCCAGACUUUUUGGGGGUGUAGGAAUGAGGUUAAAUUAUAUAUUUUGCUCUGGUCAUAGUUUUUAAUAUCAGCUACAUAAUUAACAAUUAUACAUACACCUAUAUAUAUAUACAUAUAUAUAUAUACAUACAUAUACAUGUAUAUAUAUAUAUACAUACAUAUACAUGUAUAUAUAUGUGUGUGUGUUUCCACUGAUCAUCCUUCAGAUGUUUCUACAACUUGAUUGGAGUCCACCUGUGCUAAAUUCAGUUGACUGGACAUAGAUAUCGGUGCGACAACAGAAACCUUGACCAUCUUGUUGAGUCUCUACAGCCAGGGUACUGGGAACAUCUUGUCCACGUAAGACACGUCAGUUCUUUGACCGUGUCCUUGCUCUCCCAACAUGCUAAAACAAAGGUGGUCAUAGACAUAACGAACACUUUGUUCAAUCUCUACAGCUAUGACGCUGGAAACAUCUAAUCCAAGUGGGAGACAUCAGUUCUUAUGUCAGGGCCUUUGUGAUCUAACCACUUGCAACUAAUAAACUGGUUAUACAAAUGAAGCAUUUAAAAGGGUUACAUAUAAUUUUCCCAUUACAUGUUCUUCAGAGAGCAAGUUUGAAAAAACAGUUUUCACUUUGUUGUUGUGGGUGUGUAGAAUGUUGAGGAAAAUAAUGAAUUUGAUCGAUUUUGGAAUAAGGCUGUAACAUAACAAAAUGUGGAAAAGCGCAGUGAAUACUUUCCAGAUGCACUGUAGGUGGGUAUCGCAGGGUGUCAUGACAGCGUCCUUCCACGUGGUACACAGCUACUGCAGACUCAUUCUUGUUGGACCCUUUACCCAGACUCUGCCCUGCAGGUCUUUGUAGUGUUGCUUUUUGGCCCAGAAAUAUCUGCAGCAAGCAUUCCAGCCAUCUCUCCGAUACGAUUGGCUCCAAAUAAACACUUGGCAGACGUCAGGACACAAUAAGAGAACAUUGUUUUGGCCCGAGUCAUUGUGUCUUGUGUGCAUGGAAAGAAUAAUGACAUCCUGGCAACCACAUUUUAUCAAAUAAAUGCCUAGAUUGGUAUACUAACCUUGACCCGCUUGUGCGUCAUCAUUACCUAUCAGGUUACUCUCAGUUACUCUCUGUUGAUGUGUGUGUGUGUGUGUGUGUAUACUGUGAGUCUGUGUGUGUGUGCACUGUCCCUGGAGCUAAAAGUCAGCAGAAGAGACAUAUUUCAUUAAAGCAGAAUUCUCAUUUUAAGCUUAAUUGUUGAAAGGCUACUCGUUCGAUCUUUCUUUACUCAAGACCUAAAUACGAGCAUGAGUUAUUGCUGUACUUUAUUGUGAUUGUUAUAGUUUUCCUCAACUCUACUGACCGACACAAGCGAAGUCAAGUAAAUAAUAACUGGAAGUUUGUUUCUUUCCCUCAGUCUUUUCUGUGUGUCAUGGUUAUUAUUCACACUGUAGUUUAACGGAACAAUUCUUUCACAUUUUGCAUAAUUAUGAAAUCCUCUAUGAGUAAGCGAUGAAAUAACUGCUAUUUCAUGACUUAUUGUUAUUCUCAGGCUCUCGUGUUUAUGUGAACGGAUGACACAGUGACAACGUAAUCUUCAUCACAUCUUUUGCAUGUGUGUCUCACACACACAAGGAGUCUUUGUUAAGGCAAGUAGACAUCUGCUCCCGGGACAGUGGUACAAUUUUGCCAGAUUUAGUAGCACAUCGAGACGUCCCACUCACUUUCAUGACAACUGAUGGAUGUCAGAUAGAAUCUUUUCCCUAUUUGAAUGUUAUCUUUGCACAUUGUCAUUGAGUUAAACAAAGCGUAAUUCGCAUAGGAAAAAAGGAUGACCUCAUAGCAAAUAUUUCUGAUAUAAAGUUUGAUUUUUAAAUCAAUACUGUUGACUAUUUGUUUCAACUAAAGAAGAGUUGAGUAAUCAUUGUGACCAAAAAUAAGCAUUUUAAAGGUGAUGAAAACGGAUGUCAUCUAAAUAUUAAGAAGUUGUAACAUGAUUUUACAACUCCGGCCCUGUCCAAAUUGAUCCCGGGUUUAUUUGACAUGUUGAUGCUUAAAAAAACAUGUUUGUCGGUGUUUGCUAACACUAGAAAGCUCCUUGACUGCCUUUGGUUAUCCAAGAGGAAGCAAACACACACUCAGACAGUGUGAAUCUGGGUUAAGAGUCUUUGGGUUUGCCUUGUGUUGUGGGGGGGGGGUCCUUUUUCAUAAAGCCUGUCUUCACUGCACUCGCUGGUGGUCCAUUUAUUCAGUGUCCGUACUGUUUCAUGUCUCUCAUCACCGUUUUCCUAACGUUGCCUCCCGUCCUCUGUCGCUCAGCCACGUCCCGCUCUCUCUCUGUGUCGCUUUCUUGAGUGACAUGUCCAAUGAUGUUUGCCUCUCAGUACCCCGACCUUCAAAUCUCUGGAAAGCACACACAAAAAUAAACACUCCUACACGGCGCACAGCGAGACUGCUAAUGGCUUCUACCAUUGGAGCGUCUGUUGACAGGGGGAUUACAGCUAGGGAGCACCAAAAAGAGGAAACUCAGAGACAAAGGGGGCUAGCUGUAAGCUAGCGAAAGGCCAAGUGUGGCUACAUAAUGGCGAAGGUGUUGCUAGCAGGCCGUGUUUGUGUACCUUGCAUAGUAAAAGUCUGCCUGCAGAAAAAUCUACAUUAUGUGUGGAGGAAAGGGUGUAUUGGUUUGUACAUAUUAAAACAAAGAAAAGACUGAAAGCAAAGCAGAUCUUAGCAUAGCAGUGGAUAUCACCACAUUCACACAACUGGGAAACAGAAUUCCUGCUGUCUGAAAGACGGCGUCAUGGUCUUCUGUUGAAAACUGGUGAUUGUGGUGGAAGAUUUUGCACAGACAAUCGUUAAGUAAGAAACAAAGGCUCUGAGUCAAGUAUGUCUUUUCUCCGUUUAUUUCCUUGCAAGGGAAAGAGGGUCACAACAGCUACGUGGUCAGUAGACUGUCAAGAACCUCCUUUCUGCCCCAACACAUCGAGGCAGUUCUUAUACCUAAGUUUAGAUAUCGGUGCGACAACAGAAACCUUGACCAUCUUGUUGAGUCUCUACAGCCAGGGUACUGGGAACAUCUUAUCCACGUAAGACACGUCAGUUCUUUGACCGUGUCCUUGCUCUCCCAACAUGCUAAAACAAAGGUGGUCAUAGACAUAACGAACACUUGUUCAACAUAUUAGUAUAUUAUUGUGAGGGACAAAGGUGCUUAGUGACAACACUUUAAGGCACUGCAGACAUUAGUGUGUUUUUGCUUCAAACUUAAAUAUUAAAAACAAACUUUUUUCUAUCACCUAGUCUUUUGUGAAUGACUUCUCUUGAUCCCGCUCUCCCCCUCCAUGCUUUAUCCCUCCCUACCAUCCCACUCUCUGUCCCCAUCCCCUCUCCCAUUUUUUCUUGGUACUCUCCCUCUAAUGACAGUAUUAUCCUCACUCAGACAUCAGAGUCUCUCUCCCUCAGAGCUGCAUAAAAGAGAAAGGGGGGGAAGCAUGCAGGAGAAGGCGAAUUAGGCCAACGAGAGGUGUUGAUCUGAGCUCUUCAGGGACUGCAAAGGGGCUAAAGGAGCAAUUCCUCUGACUGCUGUGAUGUUUAACUCUCCUCAGAUUAGUCGUGAUACCUUUAAUCACAGCUGAACCGAAAAUGGAAGUCUAUACUGAUGGUGAAAUUGAAAAACGACUGUCUCCAAAAAAAAUACAUAAACAUGCAAUGUGUCUUAUUUGUCGUUCAUGAAGUCGGAUGUGAUGUAGAAGUUGACACAUGGGUAUAUACUUUUUUCAUUUCGUUUCAUUCAAUUUCAUACACUAUUUUAAUAUUUUUCUUUUUUGAUAUUUUUUACAUUUGAUAAUGCAUUAUUUGGAUGUUAGCGAUAAAGCUGCUGGGCAAAGACCAGCUAAACAUAACUGAUCAUUCUCUUGGCUUGAAUGAAGGAGUGUGAGGGCGAGAAAAAGAGCGAGAAAAUCAGACCGCAAACUCAAUAAGAAAAACAAUUCAGUGAGCCCUGCUGUUAUACAAAUUUGAAUAAGCUCCUUUCAAGCAAGACUUCCCCAUGAUAAGAGGUGAGGGGAGGGACAGAAAUAGAAAAAACAAACGACAAAAAAUCCCAUCAUUUAUACCAGCAUGUAUAAAAUAAAACUCACUCAGCCACUGUGAGAAGAAAAAAGUUUUGUCUGCAUUUCAAAGCCGUAACUUCAAAAACCGAAGCAUAAGAGCAAUGGGAAGAAAACAAGAGAAGUAAUAAAAAAGAGAGCAGGGAUAAUCCUCGAUAGCAUGUGGUCAACCACACACAGCACUCAUUAAAAGAAGGCUUUCUGUGGGUUUUACACUGGAAAAAAACCAAAAAGGUGAAUCCAAAUGGACUAGUAUGGCAACGUCUGGAUUCAUGAAAUGCAUACUGCAGUGACACUGUUGUAAAAGCAGGAUGACUUUGUCUUUAAACAUCUGAACCUCACCAGUCCUGGAAGGAGUGUUCAGAUACAGAACACAUAGUACUAUUCCAUAAAUAAUCUCUAAAUGCAUGUGUUCGUGUGAGCGAAUAUAAAUGACAUGUGAAAAAUCAUGACAUGAAAAGAUUUGUUUUUUACAAAUAGCAAAGCAUUUAUUUGCAAGGCAAUUUAACAAAUUGGCAAAGGUGUAACAACUUCAUGAGGACCAGGGAUCUAAAUGCAACACUUUGUUGUCUUUGUCCGUUUACUUGCAAUGCUUUUGAAACUUCAUGGUCCUUUAUUGUUUCCACUGUGUUAAACGGGUCUUCAUGUUUCUGUGAAGCAGCGCGGCUUCAGCCUGCUAACAGUCAGCUAAACCGAGACAGCUGAGCUAAACUAAUGAAGCGCACAUUCAAACUCGCCGAAGCGUAAAAUAGUCGUCGCGGUCCGCAGUCGGUGCACAAGAACCAGCGCUGCGCCGAUGCGAGCGUUCUGGGUUCGUGGAUGACGUCACCAUGACACGUUAAUAACCGCCGUACUUUGCCUGUCUGUUGCCUGUCAGCUGCGUGCGAAUUUAGGGGGGAAAACAAUUGUGACUUCGUCAACCACCAACAUUUCACAAGUUAGAAUGGAUUUAGGUCAUAGUUUUUAUUUUUUAAGAUAGUUUUCGUCUCGUCUUAGUCAUGGAAAAAAAGGUCGUUAACGAAAAAAAUUUCAUAGUUUUCGUCAACGAAAUUAACACUGCCCGGAUAUGAUUUACACUUCCAAAUAAAGUAGAAAAAUGAAUAUACUUUAAAGACGACACAUCUAGGUUACCUGUUGCCUCACAUGCAGCUACACACGACUGGCGGAGUCGCAGAUGGCAGAGAAACCACAUGACUCAAAAUCAGCUCCCAUUUAUUAUUUAUUUAGGAUCUCUAGACCUUGAGCCCGAUGGUAUCACAUGUUUAAGACCUGAGAGUCAAUAGAUACAAAUUCGAAUUGUAAGUAUGUUUCUCUAAGACAGACGACCUCUGCAAAUAACUAAGUGUGCUCAAGUUCUACUCGUACUGUAGGGAAGGGCUCACGUUUGCAAUACAACGCAAGGUUUACAUCUUUGCAACUGCAAUCUCAAUUCAUUUUUGAAAGUGGAAAAUAUGGCUUGAAUCCAUGUUAUCUGAGAUAGAAGACUCCUUCAUUUGAAUACUUUACACCGUAAACAUUGCUGUUUAACUGAAGCAAAGUAAGCUUGCCCAAAUUGGACUAGACUUUGCUUCAUAUCACCUAGACACUGCGCUAAACCCCAAACAAAUGUGCCUUUUAAAGUUAAGUUUGUCCCCACGCAAGCCUGGAAGAGGCAAGGAAUAUGCCGCCAACAGCGUUGUGUUAGAUGAGUAUUUCUGUUUCGAUGCUUCGUUAAAUGAGAACACACCGCAGUAUGAGGUUUUGCUGCAACCCAUCACCUGCAGCACAGAGGAGGAGAGAAGUGGUAGAAUAAUCCUCCCGAGGGGGCACAUAGCUGAGCGGCAACAACAGAUGUGAAAAACAAAACAAAAAAAUACACACACACAUAAAUAAUGAUUAGGUGUGCAAGUGAAAAAUGCCCCACAGUUUCCUUGAGCUCACGUUGACAUUUUCCGCUAUCGUUUAGGAACCAUCCCAUUAUUUUUCUCUACUUACCUUUACAGGCUUUUGACGGUCCUACCUUUUACUCUUUAGUUUUAGACUAAACUUUCACCACAUAUCUUGUGAAAAAUGUUCCUCAUUAGCUGCUGAACUGAAAGUGCUGACUGUGCAUCCAAUCCAUCCCUAAAUACACGGAGCUUCUCAUAUAUAUGAACGGAAGCAGAGUAGUUCAAAAAUAGUGUGAGUUUUUGAUGAAUAGCACCGGAAAUGCACCGAGACGGUUAGCAUUGACUACAGUUUGAUGGAAAACGACGACUCGCUCAACGCAGGUGAGUGCAUUUGAUUGCUGUUAAGUGCUUCAAAACAGUCAUUGAAUGCACGCUGAAGCUAUCCUCGCAUAUGUCAACAGCCCCAUAUCUUUACAGUGCGGAGGAUUGCUGGACUGCAGUAGAGGGAGAACGCCGUCUGAGAAUCAUCUUUAAUAAGGGCAUGCUUUUCCCGGUGAAAUUAAUUCUUUGAUAUCAAGAGAUGAUUUAAAAUGGUUUCCAGCUACUUCAAACAAUGUUGCGCUAAGAACAACAGAAUACAUGAAGGGAGCCUUAGAUAUGCAUAACCACAUGUGAUUUAGUCGAUGACAGAGUCUGUGUGUGUAACAGUGAGAGGAGUGGUGAAGACCGAAGGUCCCACUCCGCUCCGUGGUAAAGAAAUAGAAAAGGUUCUUUUAACAAGGCUGAUGUCACGGUGAGGGACUCAACGGGAAUCCUAUGGAGGAACACUCUAAUCCAUUCUCUUCCUGUUCACCUGUCCCACACAUCCCUCCUCCUUUUUGAGUCCCCUAACCCUUCUCUCCUAACUGAUCACCUCAACAGGGCCCCAGACUAACUUUUAUUUAGCCCCAGACUAAUUUUUAUUUAACAAUGGCCACACUAGUGCGCUUAACCCUUCAUUUAGGUGUGCCCAACAAUUUGUCUUAUCUAUUAUAUUAAAAAUAUUGAAAAAUCACAGACACAGAUGUUACAGCUGGUAUGAGACUCACCCUAAAAAUGCUGUAUCUGUCACGGUGUGGUUCACUUCAUGUUGUAGUUUUCUGCCACUUGUGUCCCCGGGUAACUUCACUUCCUGCCUUGUCCUGUCAUCCCCGUGAUCGUCUAAUAGUUUCCACCUGUGUCCAAUCACCUGCACCUCCCUUGUGUAUUUAAGCCGUGUGUCUCUUGUGUCACUGGUCUAUUGUCGUGGAUGUUCAUAGUUUCCUGCCUGCUGGGUUUCCCCUGGUUCCUGUGUGGUUUUGCCCCUUAGCCUUUUGAUUUUGCCUUUUGACUAAUAAAGCCUUUUGUUUUCCGAGAAGUCUGCGUCUGAGUCCUGCCUCCCCCACGCAUCCUUGACAGUAUCAGCUAGAAUGUGAGUCCAUCAAUGAUCUGAUAUUGUGACAUUAUUCAUCAGCUCAGUUAAGCUACAGAGAAACAAGAACACAAUGUGUGCAUAAACCAAUCAGUACUGAGUGUACAAUGUAAACUAUACUACACAACUGUAGUUAAAAUCCUUUUAUUUUUUAUUUUUUUUAAUACCGUUUUACUUAGUACUGACAGACAUGUGCCUUGAUCUAUCCGCAUCCUUAUUAUGACUGUUAUCCUGGGUUGGAUCAUUAUGGUAGCAGACCUUUGUGAAAUGAUCAUUAACUGCAAAGCAACAAUAUAAGUGCCACACAGUGAAAUGGGUGCUUUGGUGAUUGAGGCUGCAGUGAUAACUGAUUGAGAAAGAGGUUCAAUUCAUCACUUAAAGAGAGCUGCAGUUAAUGCACAUGACAGGCAACUGAGUCCCCAGUUUGAAAGGUACAUGCAUUUUACGAGUGAAUAUUGACAUGCUGUCAGAGACGUGCAAUACAGAGGGGAACAAAGAGCCUUGUAGUCUUUCAAGUAUAUUGUCGCUGACCAAGCUCGGUCAUUUGACACAUUGGUGUGAAAAGCUGUCAAAAGUGAUACAGGGCUAGUACAUGAAUGGAUUUGAUCUCAGGCAGUGAAAGUGAAUUUUUUUUGCCCACUCCUAUCCAAACACACGUCACUUUUUAUCGGUCACCAUAUUAAUCUGAUAGCUACUCAAAUCCACAAACCGUAAGUGGGAUUUAAUACAACCGGCAUGGCCAGCUACUACCCCAAAGUCAGUAAGCCACUUAAGGAUGACCAGCUAUUCUUGUGUGGCAAGCUGCUCCAUCUGCUUUUAGUGUGAUUUCUUUAACUUUUUAACAUGAAAUAUUCAUUUUUAACAUCUCUAGGGAUGACAAAACAAGGCAUUGUCGAGAAAAUAAGCUGCAGGUUACUGGUGAUGGCGAACAUCGACAUUUAUUGCAGAGUUUGUAAUAAAAACAAUGUAAUUAUAAUUACAUUGUUUUUAUUACAAACUCCGCUAAUUAGCGCAUUGGAUGAAAUAAAAUCAUAUCUGUAGAAGUCUUAACGCUUUGGAUUAGGGCUGGUAUGCUAUGAGAACUCCUGAGACUACAUCAGCGGCUAGAAGCUCCUUCUCUUUUUGAGCCAGGAAAACUAUCUCCAGUUUAAUUGGCCCGGCCUGCAGUGUGUGAGGUCACACUCUACAUGCUGAGACCAAUGUAGAGCGGCUCUGAUGUCAAUUUUAAUAUGUCUAUUGAGGGGCUACAUGGUCCCUUUAUGUGCUGAAAGGCGACCACCAGGCUCAUGAAAACUUGUAGAUUAACUGACGUUAAUGAUUAUCACCCUAUCAACCAGGCUGCAUUUCUUCAAAGGUUAAUGCUUCUGGGAUUGGCAAAAGUGUUUUCAACAAUGUGCGGACAUCACAAACGUGACGGAUGAGAGAACAGAGACAGUAGAGCGAGACAUGAUUUUGCUUUCACCUUCCUCUGCCUCUUCUGAUAGCGUUAACUAUGUGUUGGCUUUAACCUGCCAUCUUCUGCGAAGUUUGUGUAGGCGACUCUCACGCUUCGUACAGUUGUUUAAUAGUUGGCCACUGUCGGCUCCAUUCAGCGGCGGCAGAAGAGAGCAACAAAAAACCUGUUGGUAUGCAGACACCCCGCACCACGGGAACAGACGGAGGAGAGAUUUAAGAUUAUGCACCAGAUGACUGAUAUCUGCUCAUUUGUGUUCACAUCGCUUUGUAGAGCACACACGCUGAAUUCUCAGUUUGACGUGGUCAAUACAUAUUCAGAUUUUGAGAACACAUUCGAUUACAUGUUGGAUUUAUGAAAUCCACAUUGGAUUCAGACGUUUUCUUUUUGUCAUGCAGGUCAAUAGUCUGCUAUGGGGAUUUUUAUAGCUCUGUUAGAUGUACAAGAAAGUCACACUGUACAUGAGAAUGUGUUUUGUGUGUGUGAAGUGUGUGAUCCCUGCUAUCGCCUCUCCUGAAAGAACCGUGCCUCUUCCUCAACUCCAGCAGGAAUAGCUUCGAAACGUCCAUCACCUGAAAAGACUACUGAAUAUGGAGAUUUGUAGAACAUUUAUUUGUUAUUUACUGGAUUCCCAUCAGCUGGCCGCUAAUAUUUCUGGGAUCCACAGAGAGACAAAAAAGUAGUUAACACCAAACAUUUAGACCAUGACGUAAAACGUACUGUAGUUAAAUAUAGUACAAAGAGCAUGAAAAGAAUAAUAACCAAUAAUCUAGUCGUAUACCUUGUGCGGUUGAGGACUAGGAUGUAUAUAGUCCAGUACUCCUGCAAUUUGCGAAGAAUCGAAUGUGUACAAAAGCAAUGGCAAACGUCAAGUGGUUAAUGUCCUGAGGUGCUGAAAAUAACUAUACAGUUGAGGAGGUUUGUUAUAGGGGUUGGAAGUAUCAUGCAUCCUAGGCUAGCAUUCAUUGUGUAUGCUUAUUACCUGUAUAUUGUAACUGAUUAAAAAUGACCUUUCUGAAAAACACGAGAAGAGAGAUUGAUUUCUAGUGAGAACCAUGACAGGAAAAUAUGCUGUAUUUGUUCUUAUUGAACACUGAAGUGCUAAUCUGGCAACACGGUUUUCAACCAGUUGUACAGUAGUUUUGUCAGGGUUUUUUGGACUGAAUUACCCUGAAGGACCAUGUGGGGUCCUCAGUGAUCCAGUUUUAUGUAUGGCACCUGUCAUGAGUCUGUGUGGUCUUGAUUGUUCUCAUUGCGUUCACCUGUGCCUCGUUCUCUAGCCUUUAAAAAGCCAACUGUGUUUCUUUGUGUUUGCCGAGUCUUGGAACUUACCACCUGGAGCUGAGCUGCGUGAGACACUUGAUAACUUUUCUGUUAGUACCUUUUGUUUUUUAAGAUCUUCUGUUGCCUGUUCUUUGGGACACCCUUAGUUUUCUGUUAAAUGCUCUGACUUUGUUUUUAGUUGUCUUGGAAUAUUUUGAGUUUUGUCAACGAUAUGGAACCUCCUACUUUUUGCAAGUAAAGAAACCUUUUUUUUUUUUUUUGACUCAACAUACGACUUGUCCGUGUCUGUCUCUGCACCUGAGUCACCACCACUUGCAGCACAGUGGUAGGCAAUCGGCCUGCUACACCGAGACCCAGGUUCGGAUCUCGACGACCAUGAUAAGUUUGUCUAUGUCCUUCUUAACAGCUGUGACCAUAUGAAAGGACAGAACAGCAGGUGACAAAAGACCAAAGACUGCAACACCUCAGAAACAAUACAAAUUAUAAAAUGUCGGGCAACGUGACACGGGUACAGCGGGUGUGCUGGAACCACAAGGUUGGUGGUUCGAGUCCCAGCUGCCACGUGUCAAAGUGUCCCUUACAAGACACCUAACCCCUACUACAAUUAACACUCCACCCGGUAAUUUGGUGCUCUUUACCUGUUCCAUUGGCAAACCUGACAUAGACAAGUGAAGAUAAACAGAACUUUUAGACUUAGAAAUGUUCAGGGCUAGUUUGUUCCCAAUCAGACACUCUUCCCAGAUCUUGAAUCAAAAAAAUUUCUGGCCCUAUAUAAGCAUUGCUGUACAGCGUUGUGUCAUCUGCAUACAUUACCAUUUUGACAUUCUUCUGUACAGAAAAAAUAUAUUUAAAUUAUAUAUUGCUUCAAACUAUUUUUAGGCUAUAUAGGAAGUGUCAAUUCCCUUGGUGAUCUCCUGCAAGUCACUAUAAAAAAGAAUCUUAGUAAUAUUACUGAAAGUAUUUUUUUAGAAACUAUGUUACUAAAUUAUGUCGGCCCUGGAGAGAAUUUAUUUGACUUAUUCCCUCAAACUGGAGACAAAAUAAAACUGUCAACGAUGUUAACUGCAAUGCUUCGAAACACCGAUAUCAUAAUUUACUAUGGGGAGAUGUUCACUCAUUAAGUUACUUUCUUUUAGUAAUAUAUUUGUAAGAUAAGAUGAGAUAUGUACUUAAGUGUAAACUCAAGUUCUACACACACACACACACACACACACACACACUGAUCAAAGUAAACUGUUUAAGCGGAUGCAAUUGGACAAAACGUCUGGAGGAGAACUAGCCAGAUGAAAACAGGGAGGGAGACAAUAGAAAGGAUAGCGGCUGAGAACGUUUUUUUGUAUUGCAUUUUAGAUCCGGUUGAGCAGAGCCACUUAACAACACCCACACACGUGCACACUCUCCCUCUGAGAAACAACCAAAUGGAAAGCAGCAGAGGGAAUUGAGGCCACGGGUUUGAAAGGAGACUGCUUGUUUUAUCUGCAUGCGAGGCUACAUGGAUAGCAAGUGUACUUGAAACUUUGUUGCAGGAGUUGCAAAGCAAAGUCCCUUCUCCUGUGUCAUCCCUACAAUCCACAUGUUUGUCCAAGUUCAAUGUUGAAGAAGUCUCUUAGCUGACCUCAACUCUGGGCAGAAUUGAAAUAAGCUCAGGGCAGGGCUGUAGUGGAGGGUAAACGCCGUUUACGCACCUCUGGAAUUUGGGAAAUAGCGUUUACGCACCUAUAAAUAGCGUUUACGCACCUCAAAGUUCCCUGCGCCUUGUAUUCUUCCGUUGGAAUAAUCCGAAAUAAACUUGGUGUAAUUUUAAAACAGCUAAGACUACGUUUACUAUUGUUGAACAUAUAAACGCCGUAGUCUGAAUCAUGUUCAUCUGCGCUGUAUUACGGUCUGUGAGCAUCCAAUCAGUGCCUUGCGGCUGCAGCAGCGACUCCAAUCAGGAUCCAGGAGGUGUGUAAACACACGGAUCAGCCCAGUGGUCCCCAACCUUUCUUACCUCACGGACCGGUUUCAUGUCGGACAAUAUUUUGCCGACCGGUCGAGAAGGUCCGCCUGGGGGGUGGUGUAGUAGUCUUUGCGGGCGGAACGACCAACUGGGGGGGGUAGUAGUCGCGCGCUCUGUGUUUGCUGGUCGUGCACGGUAAAAGGACAAGAAAAACGCCAGUGACGCGCGCACAUAAUUAGGAGAAAAUCCAGUCAAUUUUCAAAGGCUCUGCCUCCCCUGUCAUCAUGAGCGGGGAGCAAAGCUGUUGCUUCACUGAAUAGGCCUAUAUGCUUAAUCAAUUAUUUUAAGUCAUGAAAGGUGUAGAGUAGCCUGUAAGCGUUAGAAAACAAGUCAGUUCUCAAUGUGAAAAAAACAUGCUGUAUAGGCUAUUUAUGAUGACAUAGGUUGUACAUGAGUGUUCCUUUAACUUAUGUUGUCAGUGUAAUUGACAGGCUGCUAAACUGGUUAACUCUUAAAUUCAACAUAUUUUUUCAGGCAGUGAGAGGACAGGCAAUGAUGCAGAGAGCACAGGGAGAGGAGAAACACCAGGUCCAAUAGAGAGAGGAGAAGCACAGAGGAGCCAUGAACCCAGAACACGCGUUCUGGGGUUCAUGGCUCCUCUGUGCAAGGCAGGACCUGACGUGGAGGACAAGGAGGCCCUGGGCACUACUGUAAAAAGGAGACUCCAUAUGUAGAUAGUUCUUAAUCUGCAAUUGUGUUGUUGUGUUGACAUACUUUUCUUUACUGUUUUCCUAAAUUUAAUAAACUACUAACACAUGUAUUCAUUGUCAUUGAUUGUGUAUGACUUUUACUGAUAACAUAAUGCAAUAUAGCCAGGACAGCCUUACAGAGUUGCGACGCCUUGUGUUGCGUUGCUUCGCAUCGCGUCGAGGUCUGUAUGAUCACGAAAUUCAGAGUUUACCCACCUCUAAUUUUACCACUGCAGCACUGUCUCAGGGUGAAUUGCCCAACAUCAGUACCCCACCAGGACGACGCCAAAUCCUACAAAAACCUUCCCAGAAGAGUUGUGGCUACUGCAGCGGCUUAUCAAAAGUGAUGGUUGUGGAAUUUGAUGUUUUAAUAAUCACAAGGUGUCCUCAUUCCUCUAUGCGCGGUGUCUGAGGCUGUAAGGCUGUACGUGUAUGCCAUUUUAUUAUCAGAGUAAGAGACUGUGUGACAGGAAGCCAGAUCAAAGUAAUGUGUUGGCAUGACUGUGGUUCACAAUGAACCACAGAUGGAAUCCAUUUCUCACCUGCCCUGUGGAGAUAAAGCCUUUUGUUUGAUAUUACUUUGUUUGUGGUGAAAUCACCAUUUAAUCUGCUUGGAGGUCCUACUUUUUACAUUAAAAACUCGUCCUCUCUACCUCAGAAAAAUCUUUCUAUCUCAAAAGGAAAUUGAUUGUCUGGUGGCCGUGUUUGGAGGGAUGGAAAGGUCUACACAGAUGAGAGAAUGCAAUUUAUGCUGAUUAUUCUUGUUUUUGAUGCUUUUGGUGAAGUUUGUUUUCAACCAUCAUGGCAAUGAAGCAGAUUGAAUAGAAAUAAAUUGAUGUGUAGAGGGCAGAGAUGUGAAGCGGGAGAGUGGACACAGAGGGAUUAUUUUUAUCUCCACAGUCUGAGGAAUGGAGGCCUUCAUUCAUGUUGUUUGCAUCCAUGGUCUGUCUCUGUGCCCCUCCCCUUUUUUUAUUUAUUUUUUCCUCUUGCACAGUUGUCUUGUCGUCCAUUGUCGUACUGUCUGCUGUUAUGCACCAACCGCCAAGUCAAAGUCCUUGUAUGUCUGACAUAUUAUGGCAAUAAAUGUUUCUGGAUUCCCGAUUCCCUAUCGCUCUCUUAAAUUAUUCCUGAUCAAAGACAACAGAUUAGCAUUACCAGCGCAGUCACAAACUAUUUAUACAAGGAAAUUAUUAUUAGAGAUUACAGCCUAUAUAAGUGAAUACAAAUACCAACCAUUUAUCCAAGGUUCUUGGGGGUUGGAGUAACCGCCAAGUCUGCCGUUGCUUAGCAACCAAAACCAUUGCGCGGCAAUCGCGAUGUAGUUCCGGUAAUUUGUGUGUGGACUGUGUCCUUGCACUGCAGCGGUGACAAAAGUAAAAUAAUGCGGUGGAACAUUUUAAAGCUUUGCAUUGACCUGCACUAAACUUUUCCUGUGUAUAUUUACCAUCGGCAGAUAUUUAAAUGUUAGAGAUAUCUGCCUCCUUUAAUUUGUAAACUGUCUGCAUCACAUUCCAAAACUGCACUUCAUCGUGCAGCUGUAAUGCCCUGAAAAAUAUGUGCAUUGGAAAGCUCACAGACAGCGAUAUCAUUUUGCCUUUUUUUCAGCCGUGCCUCCGCCUGUCCAUAAUGACGACAAUAGAUUUGAGAGCGUAAAAAAGCAACAAAUGUGACACAACCUUUGUCAUACAGCUUCUGUGAUGUACUUAUAUAAAGGCUAGAAUACCAAUUUUAAGAAAGCUACAGACUGUGAUUUGGGGCAAAAUGUUCUUGUAUUUAACUAUUCUAAAGAUGGAUAGAUGGAAUUAAAGGUGGAUGGAAGGAUUAUAUAUGAGAAUGGAAAAGAUGUUCCAAGAGCAGCUGGAUGAUGUAGGAUAUUUUGAACAAUGCAAGGCUGAAAUGAUGAUGAUCCAGUCAUCUAUACAAUGAUUGUAUAGAUGACUGGAUGCAGAGGCAGUUAACAAACGUUUGGAAGGAUUCCUAGCUGGCAUUCUGGACUUAUUGGUGAUGUGGGUGGAAAGAUAUAUGGAAUGCAUACAGCUCAAUGGGCGGUUGAAUAGUUCAAUGUGUGAUAUGACUAGACAAAGUCAUAUAACGGCAAUCAUUUUUAAAUUCCUUCACAUUCCACUCUGAUGCCUUUUACAAGGAAAGAGCAAAUUGUGUAAAAAAUGCAUUCAAGGAAGGAAAUACAAAAAUAUAGUAACAACCCUUAUACAAUCCACAGAACAAUGUGAAACUGUCAGUUUGAUAUUUUCCCACAAACGGUAGGUUAAUCUUUCUGGUGAGUUUAAGGUAGAAUUUUUUUUCCAUCAUUCUGAUGACUUGAAGAUAGAAGCUGUUCCUCAGCCUAGGAGGUCAUGCUUUUCACACUUCUGUACCUCCUGCUCAAGGGCAUAUGUGUGAAAAACCGGUGUCGGGGGGUUAGAGAGAGAUGGUAGCUUUGAUUUUGAUAUAUUCUGAGCAAGCGUAUAAAACUCUGCGAAGGGGUUUUCUUUCAAUGACGUACGCUACUUUUCAUACCACACAGUGAUAAAGUAUAUCAAGAUGCUCUCUUUUAUGCAAAAUCUGUGAUUUAGAAAAUACAUCUACUCUUGUGCGUUCACAGGAGUGGAGAUAUUUGUUAAAGUUAAGAUAUGUCAAUGGAUGGAAGAAGGAAUAGCUGCAUGAAUCUAUGGAUAGAUAUACUGAGAACUGGAUAAAUGCUUAAUGAUUAGGUGACUGGUUUUCUGGAUGGCUGAAUUGUUCAUGUAUUCAGGAAGGGCUUGAUGAAUGAUAAUAAUGACUGAAUGAAUUAUUGAUAGGUGCAUGGCUAGAUGUAUGAUAAUUACUGCAGCAUGGUUUGAUGGCUGGAUGAAUGAUAAUAUUAGCUGGAUAGAUGAGAGAUUGUUGUUGGUUAGAUGGAUCAUACAUACGGCUAAUGGAUAGUAUAUAUCUGGUCAGAUAGAGGGCUGGGAAAUAAAUAAAUGAUAGCUAGAUGGAUAAUUCCUUUGAAAAUCAACAAAUAAAAUAUAUAGAGCAAGACAUUCCAGUAUAGUGAACCAUCUGUUGUCAUGUCUGAAGUACUGAACCAUCAAGCAUCAUCUUAAAGUGGAGAUGAGAGGCCUCUGUACUUGGAAUUCUACCCAUAACCAUCUUCCCUUUCUCUAUUUGAGUGUAAUUAACCGAAAAUACAUUACACUGUAGAAAUUAAAUAUUAUACUUACACAGGCGCUGCUUUGUCCUGAUAUGAACAAGUUACCGAAUUAUACCACAGUCAAGUGGAUUUGGAUUGGUGCUGCUCACUGCAACUACAACUAAGAUAUGGAUUGAAUCCAUCCUGUUACUAAUACAAGGGCUGACAAGCACACAUUUUGGAGCCAUUUAAAUCCAGACAAUUCCCCAGAAUACUGUAAACCAGGGGUGCCCACAGUUUUACGGCAUGCAGGCUUCUUUUCAACUGACCAUGUCAUUGCGAUCUACCCACUCCUUUUCGAGGACCGGCCGGCAGGGGGGUUUGGUUCAGGGGUAAGAGAGUGGCUGCCUGGGCUGUAAGACGUACACAGGCAAUUGGUUUGUGCAUUACCGUAAAGACGCCAAAAGCGGCGAUGAUCGAAAAGUGCGCCGUCACGUUUAGAUCAAGUCUUUUUUUUUUGCUUUUGGUCCGGAUGGGAUGGCUUCUGGGUCCGGAUCAGGACAGCUGUCCGCCAAUUAGUGACCUCUGCCCUAGGAGGCAGAGGUCAUGACGAGAGCUAGUUAGUAUCGGCGAAAAAAGUACUACUUCGUGUAGUUAAACUGCCGUUGAGUUUAAGCAUCCUGGAGACUAGUAAAUAAGCAUAAACGUACUACUGCCUGUAGUUAAAAAUGCCAUUGUGUUGUCAUGGUCCAUGAGUUGUAGAAGGUUCCAAAAGUCCAGCAGAGUAACGCGUCAUGAACAUAAGAGAGGCCGGAAAUCUAGCUGUGGUGUGUUGUUCACACGUUACAAAGCAUCUGAGACUUGUUUUUUAUUGAGGUGCAUAACGUCUACAAUUUGCAAUUUUGAGCCUUAGUUUAAACUUAUUAAAGGAAUUUCUGUGACACAUAAGAAGUGGUCCACAGGGUCAUUGAGUGUUUUUGGCCAGUUAACACUAUACAGGGUUAUGGUGUACUGUCCUGCAUUGGGUGCAGAUCUCUAUUGCUUCAUCAGCAUGUAUCUGUAAAGAGAAGGGAUGUACUUACAAUGGAAUUGUCAGCUAGGGUCAGAGCACCAUAGCAGAUGAAAGGCGAAUAAGAACUACUCCUAAGUAAUUUAGUUUUGACUCGGCACUUAGUUUUAGUGUGGCAGAUAUUUAUUUAGGGAGGAUUCUAACCUCUUAUACUGUGAUAAGCUUGAUCAGUUAAGCUGAUAAAAUGUGAAUUCAUUUCCUUUGAUUAUCCGUCAUUUUUGUUAAAGAGGGACAUAAAAAGGUGCGUAUUUGGGAUAAGUGGACAGAAUUUGAGGCAUAUUCUUACACCAAGGCCUAAAAACAAAGCAGAUUAUUCCAGAAUUUGAGGGGGAAACUUGAAUAAUAGGAAUGAGUUUAAGCCCAGUAUAUCACAGCUAGAUGCAGUGAAGUACUGAUUGUCAUUUGACCCUCUAUGAUAGUAAAUACAUAGAUACAUUCAAGCACCUCACAAUUAUAUCUUAAUUGCCUUUAUUGGUUUGUCCACACGUUCAGAGACGUAUGGCGAUAGCUAACAUUAGCAUCAUUAGCAUCUCCUGCUUAGCGAGUGUAAACAGACACUUGAAUGGAAUUAUACUGCAUUUACUCAUCUUAUUAAAAUGUUUCAAUAAAACAAACAACUUAGUUAUGGUUUAGUUAAAUAAGUAUUUAAUAUUUCCCCAAACAGAAUAACCGAGAUCUCCAACCAGGUAUUUAAAGAAAAAGAGGAAGAAAAAGGAAGACUCGAAUACCUACUGAUGUAAGUAAAAGGUAAAAUAACUGAAGGACACAGCCGUUGGAAUAAGCAAUGAAGGAGUAUCUGCUGGUAUGAUGAGGUGUGAAAGUAACUUGAUAAAGACCUGCUCAUUCAACUUCAGUGGACGGUGGAUUUGUCAUUAUAUAUUUCCAUUCUUUGCGCUGCAACGAUCUCCUCUUCACGGAAGUUCAUCUUUAUUCUAUCUUCAUAUACAUGAAAGUUUAUAGCUUACUCUUGCCCACGAUCUUGCCUUUUCCCUCGACAGUCUAGAUACCUGUUAAACACACACAAAGUAAGACAUCAGCGGCGGUGAAGUAAACGUAGUGGCCGUCUCUCCUGCUUUGCAUUUGUUUGAGGCCGCUGCUGAUUACUGCUUGAAGGGUUUUGAUGUCAGCGUGGAUUCCAAUGAUUCAUCUCCAACUCCGCUGAAAAUAUGCUUCAAAAGACAGCUCAGGUGAUGUAACACAUUACACAGACACAAGUGCACCCAUGUGAACGCAUAUUGAAGAACACGUGUGCAGCCCACACAAGUCAAAACAGUGCCACAGUGAGCUUCCCUACAUUAAAAUUAUCGUGCUACCGUAGGGCUCUGUAAUAUCGCGGAUUAAGAGUGAUCACAAUUAUUUGUUUACCAUUCAUGUACAAAAUUACAAAAAAUGCAUUUCUUUUUUUAGCACAAAUCUUUUUCAGCAUCAAACACUUGACUGGUUACUGAUCUUUUACUUACCUAGAAAAAUAUGUCAGUUAAAUAUGUUGGAGGGAGGACUUUUAGGGUGCUUUAUUUCUUGUUCUGCAAUAAUGCCCCCCAGCAUUAGAGAAAGUGUAGUGGACUCUCGAUGCACCGAAGCCAUUCAAAAGUUUCCCAUAUGGAGACUGGAUCUCAAAAGAUAAAACACAGCAAUGAUUUUUUUCAAAGCUAACAUGCUAAACUUGACAGUCGUUGCCUCCUUCUGGAACAGCUUCCUUGUCCUUGUAGAUACCACAGUCCCCUGGUGGUCCUUUGUCCCCCUUUCUGUAUUGAGCCCAAGGAAGCGCUAAAAUGAAAUAAAAGAGAAGGGAUAUUAGGUGUUGUACGUAAAGAGUAUUUGCACUCAUACUGAACCCGUAUGAAAUAAAAUUAAAAGACAAUUGUUUUCAAUUGUUUUUACAAAUAACUAUAUUUUACUCUUGAGAAGUUCUAAUUUUUACAGUACAGAAUCUAAACAGUCAAUAUCCCACUUUUCAGCUACAGGUGAAGCCAAUUAAUGCAGACUCUCCCCCUGUGUACUUGGACUGAGCCUAUGAUGUCACUGCUGGCCUCAAACUGCAUAUAAAUACAGGAACCAAUUGGGUGCCUCCCAAACACCAGGGCCCUGUUCCUCGUACAAGGCUAACUGAGUUAGCCGGAUAAUUUUCAGGAUAAGAUGACGUAGAUCAGGCUAUUCGGUUCCCCGAAGCAGGUUUGGAUAAAUCACCAGAGCAACACCUCGAAAAACGAUAUCUGUUAGAUUAACGUUUUAUAGGGAGAGAGUUCUCCAAGAUCCAUUAUGACAUCGCGAUGACGUCCUGAACAAACGCUACCGAUGCUAAAGCCCCACACGGUGCAGCCGAGCAUCCACUGUCCUAUAGACCGUCUCACACUCCGUUUCUCAUACUGUACAUGUUUGUACAGUGUUGCGAUGCAGAGAACAUCUGGAAAGCCACUGCAUGUCGUGCUCUUCAAAAAGUUCUGUUGGUUUACUUGUCGCCUAAAAAACUGAAUGUUUCACUGCUUCAAUUGAUCAAAUUUCAGAUUUUUUUCAUACACAUGAUAAAACUCCUAGUUCUACACGGGCAUCUACACAUACAUAUGAUACAUAUAUCCUAUUCCGUCGUAUCAAUUAGUCUUUGAGAUCAUUAUUCUCAUUGGAUGAUGAUAGAGUCCAUGAAGCCUCCUGCAAGCAGGCACAUUUAAAGAGAUAUAAUCUGAUUGAUUAGUGAUGAGGCACUUAAAAUGACUUUUACCAACACUUGCACAUUCAUCUUCUCUGCGAUACGUUAUCGGGCUUGUAGCUCCCGCAUGGGGGUGGUAUCAGUCUUUGCCAUGAUAAUUUGAUUCAAUUCAUUUUAUCUUGUAUAGCACAAGUGCUUUACAGUACACAUGUGACAUCCUCUGUCCUGAAACUCUCACAUCGUCUGGCCCGCGUUCGAUCAAAGUGGGCAGUAUCUGGCCCAAACCUGAAAUGAGUUUGACGCCACUGGUUUAGAGAGACAGAGGAGGAUCCCUCCCCCCUGGGACAGACAGACUGCGAUGGACGUACAGAAUGAACAACGUGUACAACACGUUAAAAUGUAUCUGACAAAUGAUUCAAAUACAUAUUAUCUCCUCACAUGCGUUCAUGAUCAUCUCCUGCUCAUCAGCGGAGAAAAAAAAAGACACUUCCUUUAAGUUUGUUUGCCGUUGUACCGUUAAAAAAUCCUGGUCUCUGUGGUCGACUCUUCCGCCGCGGUUUUCCUGAUGAAGAACGUCUGGUUCAAUCUUUGAGGAUCAGCCUUUGAGGAACCAAAAGCCUGAGAUCAAUCAUUUUGUUAAUUUGAGCUGGACAUUUGAUCGACUUAGUUGAGCCACGUACGAGGAACAAGGCCCUGGUGUGCCUGGUAACCCUCAAAGACACCGACCAGUGUCGUAUGGGGACAAAAAGUGUGUUGUCCCCCACGUGGUCACAAAGCGUGAGGAGCGAUUGGCAGGUGUAUGACAACUAAGCUGAGGGCUUUGGCAUGAAAGAGAAUGCCUGCCUGCCCCUCCCCCUGUCUGAACAUACGCCUGAACCCUUCUGUCGUGUUCCGGUCAAAUCUGACAAGUUUACAACGUUAAUCAAAUCAUGGAUGUUUUACAUGUGAUAUCGUCAGCACGUGAAAUUGGUAAUGAGCACAUUUAAUUUUGAGUGGUUUAGUCAACCUUGUAACCCCUAUGGUGUUCCCUGUAAAAAGCAAACCCUGGGAAAUAAAUGGGAAACACUAGAUCUGUCGAUUCAUCAGAUUGAAAAAACCUUUCUCACACACACACACAGUUAAAAACAUUUCAAAAUAAACAUCAGGGUGUUUUUAUGGGAUUUCAUCUCUAUGCCACACUUAUGUGCCGAUCCCCGCACGUAAAGCACACCUUCCAGACUAAACAAUGUACCAGAUCUUCCCACUUUCUCACUAAAUAAAGCUUCAUCUGUGCUUUGGUCUCAUUUUACUCUGUGAACACUGAGUAGGCAGCUGAUGGGACCAUUUUCUGUCAUCGAGGCUUUGGUCGUAAUCUUUGAAUCAGAUGAAGAGGUGAUUGAACCAGAGACGGAGGAAAUUGAUCUGGAUUUCGAGUCGGACGGCUAUGGGACUAGUCAACACAUGUCGGGGAAGUGGCACCUGAGGUGACGUUCCAGUCAGGGUGGCUACUUGUUUUGGUAAUCAUCCUCUCAGGAGAGAGGAGCGAGAGUCGAAGACAUAACAAGCAUGAGCCAGGGCCAACACGGUUUGUUGCUUGCAGUUUUAGGAACACAACAUUACAACCUUUCCCCCUCCUUCCAGGCUGGAUGAGGUUAAAAGUGCUCACCUGCUGGUGAAAUUUCUUUUGUUUCCCGGCCAUUCGGCCCUGCUAUUUUUUUUUUUUCAUUAUUUGGUACGCCAUAUUACGAGGCCCCUAAACGCUAUCUUUUGUUGAGGUUGAUGGCAAAAUACGUCGAUCAUUCGUGAUUAUUGAGAGGGAUUUUGUUUAGUCUAUGCGUUGAUUUUACUAUAAUAAAAAUCCUAUUCUGCCUUUAGAAAGAUCAUCAUGGGAAAAAUGAACACUAUACAUUUUAGCUAUUUUUCUGCUACAAUUAUAGUUAUAGCUUCACAAGAGUGAAAAUUACAUCACAGUUCAAAAAGAGGCACUUGAAAAAAACUAUGCUUUGGUCUCUGAGUGCGAUGAAGUACCAUGUUUAUAUUGCAACAUAUCUCAGCUUCUAGCCUGUAUUAUGAAGAAACCAUUUAAAUGCUUCACUGGGGAGUAAAAGGAGCUGCACUCGUUAACUACAGUAAAUGCACAGCUCUACUUCUGCCAAGUAUUUUUAUAGGGUUAUUCACACUUUGUUCUCCACUCUGGUACAACAAACAAAUUACCUAAAGAUCAUCAAAUAUGAAAGAAGAAAAGAUAAGACAAACAAAUUAACACAAAAAAGAGAUGAAAAGACAGGGCACUAGAAGGUUUUUACUUUGAUACAUGUGUUUGUAAAUCAAAAACAAAAAAGGCACUCGGCACUGCAAUUACAGCAAUUUGCUGCAGGGGGAAACAGCUGUUUUCUUCCUUUCAUUGAGGAAGAUGUUUCCCCUUUAAUGUUUUGCUUAAUGUCACCUUGUUUUUUUUUUUUGGUAACAUAUUUAUACAGAGUUGUUUUACCACUGGUUGAUUGAAAGAACAUGCGAUUGUAGGCAGAUGAGGUCCGAACAUCAGUAAUCUCAUUAUGAAAUCUGGCUUUCUCUCCACGAAACUGGUGGUGAGAUGACUGGAGAGGGCACAACAAGAUGGAUUCUGAAGACAUUUAAAUUUGUGGAAAAAAAAUUGGUUAAAAAAAACAAAAAUUACCAAAAACUUCGCGACCCCCCCUGCAGUACCACGGCGGACCCCCUGGGGGUACUUCACAAAUACAGACAGACUGUUUAUAUAUCAAUUGAAGUCAGGCAGUUAUUGAGCUGAAUGGGUGCUACAUGCACAUUUAAAGAGUAGUACCCUAGCAAAAGACACAAAUGAGUAUGGAAGAGUAUGUACUCCAUAGACGUGCGUUGACUUGCAGUAAUUACAUGAAAUGGAAAUAUUUCAUCUACAGGAUAUACAGUAUGUGAAAGUAAUACAAUAUCACAUUUUCCGUUGUCCUUUUCAUAAAGACAAGUGAAAAGGACAACUCUGGACCUGACUAAUUUAUCAGCAGCGAACAAUGAUUGUCUUGAUUUGAAGCAACCUCGACACAGACGGGCAUCAAUAUUUAAUCAGUCGUGUAACAGUUGGAUUUGAUUAAAUGCGGGAGGCGCUACUCAGUGCCAAGGGCAGCAGAGACCUUCUUUUUGGAAAAACCAUUAACCCAAAACAAUGUUAACUCAUUGUGCGCUCCGAUGAGUGUUUUUAGUGGCCGAAAGCACGUUCCACCUGAUUAAGGAUGGCACACAGCAACCAUGUUUAGAGGGAUAACAUUGUGGAGUGUUGAACCCUUCAUUUUUGUUUCUUUGUAAACCAGAAGACCUGAGGGCGUAGAGGUGUGUUUGAGGAGCGAAAAAGAAAGAAAAAAAAACAUGUAAAGAAAUGGACACCAGAAUUAUGCAAAUGCCUGUGGUAUUUUUUUAAAGGGGUUGAAGGUUAACAACAGUUAAAAUGACCAUGGGCAUGGGAAGUGAGCGAUGUCUAAGUGAAGUGUUGUCGCAGCACUAGCAUUUUGAGUAAUGAUGGUACACAGAUGGGCAACAACAGUUAGUUAGCAGGAGCCAAUUAAAUGUAGCCAAUCAACCAUCUGCGAAUUAACAGGCUGUCGGGUUUCGAGCAGCCUCUUUUCAAUGUAUGCCAAUCAACAUGGAGUACGGCAGAGCGCUCGAGGAGAGGGCAGGGGCACACAAAAGGGCUCCACAGUUGCCCGUGCUUUAACAGCGCCACUUAAUUGUAUGUGUGCAAUCUUGGGGCACAGCGGACAUGAUGCCGCUCCUGCAUGUUAAAGCAUCCUCAAUAUACAGUAGACAAAGCAAUUGUAUGGACACGAGAAGCACAUUAGUCUUUAGAGUUCAAUUUGUAUGCUGCACUGGUUUUCUAAUUUUCUUGCAUCGCGGUGACUGACAUCUGUCGGUUCUAGCUGGCUACUGUUCCAUGAUGGCUCCUUAGAUUCCAGAGAGAAACGGCGAGAGCUGGAAGAAAUAGCGCUAACGGAGGUUCCACUCAGUCUGUCCCACUGAGCAGCACGGUUUGAGAGAAGUUAUACGCUACAAACACAAGUAAUAAGUAUUACAACAGAAACAAAACAGUAACUUUACCAUUAAAAUACAACAAAUAAUUUAUUGCAGAAUAUAUAUGCCUUUAAUGUUAUGCAACGUUUUAAUUGAUCUCAAACUGACAGUUUUACAGGAACCUGUGCAGCACUGAGUAACAAAGUCACACAGCUCCUCAUAUAUCAUUUGUGGUUCAUCCCCACUUUUCACAAAGAUUCUGGCAUUCACCAAUGUUUUCUCAUUUGGGAUUUGUUCUUCAGUAAGAACACUCUUCCACACAAUUGAGAGCUGACAUGUUUGUGCAAAAUGAGUAGUAGCAAAAGUAGGCGUAUUCCGCACACUAGGACUACACCACACAAUGGCGUAUUGACUGCUCCUGCAAAAGUAUUUUUGUUAGUGUGCACACGCCCUCCCAUCUCAUGACCUUUUAUGGGAAUUAAAUGGGCGUUAACCUUUGCUAAAUAGGGGCAAUGGGGCACGAGCUUUCAAUUUACGACAUACUGGCAUUCAUCAUUCUAAGACCGCACCUGUGAACAAUUCAGCUGUGUAGGGACACGUCAUGAAUCACGCGUAGACAUCUUAGGAACUUUCUUAAGAACAAAUGUAAGAAAUAACUUAGGACGAUAUUAUUGAAUGAGCCCCAAUGUUAUUUAGCCUGCGUCAGUCCGCUUUGCCUCUUAUCCUCUUGUUGAACACGAACAUAAUGCAUCAUCGGCGCAUUACCGACCACAGUGUAACAUCUAUCCAUAGACUUGUUACAUAUUUUCAUACAUGUGCUUUGCUGUUAAAUUAUUUUAACAAACUGCCUUUUAUAAGAGCAGUGUUGUAUCAUCACUUGUGUCUGGAUCACGAGGUGAUGGUGGUUCACUGUCACUGUUUUCAUCUGGUUACAAAGCUGAAUAGGUUCAACAUUCUUCAAAAUGUCUUCAUUACACAAAUUGUAGAACCUCCCUGUGUACUUUUUUUCUGUAGUUUCAGGGAUUUCAGUUAAUAACUGUUUGGGCUCCAAUGUAGAUUUCACAGCUUAAACUUAUAGCAGCGGCGUUCUGUGUUUGGGAUGCCAUGUGACCGUGGAAAUAGGCAUGAUGUCACCACUAUGUUGAAAGAGUCAAUCUUCAUGUUUUAAUUGUGAAGCUGUUUUGAAAGUCCCCCAAAGUGGGAAUGCAGUAAUAUAUUUGUCAGCUUUUGCAUUGUGGGGAAGCUGGAGGAACACGAUGACAUUCGGUAUUCACAUCUCACAGGUUUGAACACUAUUAAAAGGUUUAUCAUGUUCUCAACAGUCUGCAUGAAGUAAGAAACGUUAUCAGCAUUUAACUUCAACUCUGUGUUCUCCUUGCAAUAAACUGACCUGUUUAAGUCUGGUUAAAGCAUACUUCUUGAUUUAUUUAAUCUGUCCUGUUAAGAUUGGAGAAUAAACACAAACACUUAUUUAAAAUGAGUUAAAGUGACUGUGAUACUUUAUAGACAAUAAUAUGUUGUGCUCUUUUCUACCUGCUGCUCUUUUUUCAAUGCAUUGACAUUUUUGUUACCAAAGGUAAUAACGUUUGCUUUGGGCGCCUUAUGAAGCAAGAAAGUACCAGUUAGUGACUGUUGAGUGUGUGCUUUAAAAUGUCAUUGAAGAUGUUAUCCAAAGGCUCAGCGAUACUGCGGUGUUGAUAGAGCAUGGAAAAAGAAAAACAUCUCAGUCAUUUUACAGCUGAGAACUUGAAACCUACAGCGCAAGCAGCUUUGGUCUGACUUGUCGUAAAAUGCAGCUUCAACCGUGGACCCAGCAUUUCUUUUCUCUGUGCAUAUAAAGACCCAAUUAGAAACCGUAUAAAACAGCUUGCUUCAUGAGAAAAUGAGCUUGGAGUUUCUUGUUAGUUUCUUCUUUUUAUCCAGUACUGACAGCCUCAAAACCUAAUUUCAACUAAAAGUGAUCACGUGCCAAAACUAUCAAAGCACAUAGUUAAAGGCAUCCUCUGCCACUUUAAUCAAUACGUAUUAAAUUUGGAUCACAAUAUAUAAGUAUUUAAUAGCUGCACACAUUUGUUUCAGGAAUUGUUUAGAUUUUCUUGCCAUAAUUUCAAGAUACCAUGUUACAUAUACCAGGGUCUAAACUUCAUCAAAAAUCCCUUCCACAUUGUAUGUUUCUCUUACUUCAUCUAAAAUAUUCACUGCAUUUCAGCAGGGACUUGAGUGUCAUUUGUCACAGAAACUGCAACUCUGACGGCGCUGACUGGUUUCCCGUGGAGAACCGGCUAGUGACACCGGGGAAGUGAGAAGAAGGGAGCAAAAUGAUGAGAGAGGGAGAGAAAACUGUUCCCAUAGCAACGGAAUAAGAGAAAAAUUGACGCGGUGGGAUGCAUGCGCUGUCCUGCUCCAGAGUGUUUGUGCCUGUGUAGACUUUCACACUCACUUAAGUAUGUUACCCUCUCCUUUAUAGUCCUUUCAUCUCGGUCUUGAUGUAAAAGCAGCAUGUUGCUGCUUCCACAAACAUUAGAUCCACUAAUUGGACGCACUCCAACAGCGCAUAACGAGUCGAUAUGAAGAAAACAACGAACCUCUCAUCAGUCAGAAGGAGGAAACUGCCACAAGCAUCCCACACAUUCUUCGUCGUUACCUUACUGGAGUCAGCCUGGGUUGCUUUGGAAUGAAAUGGGUCCGUUAGUAAGCAAGAAUCGCUAAUUAGCAUUAGUUUUGGUCAUCUCCCGCGGUAGACCGCACAUGCGUGACGUCAUUUUUUUUUUUGAUGGCAUGCGAUUGACUGGUACUGCUUUUGAGAUCGACUGAUCCCUGCUGUGGAUCAUCUUCAGCAGCUGGGUUAUGAUUGACCAGCCCCAUACUGGGGCCUAGGCAACUGAUUUGAAGUGAUCUAAGAUGAAGAAAUUCAACCUGUCAAAGACGAUGACGGCGCACUUCUACACAGCCUUCAUUGAGUCCAUCCUCUGCUCCUCCAUCACCGUCUGGUAUGCUGCAGCCACAGCCAAGGACAAGGGCAGGCUGCAACGUGUCAUCCGCUCUGCAGAGAGGGUGAUCGGCUGAAAUCUGCCGUCCCUGCAGGACUUGUUCGCUUCCAUGUCUCUGAAGCGAGCUAAAAAGAUCGUAGCUGACCCCUCUCACCCCGGACAAAACCACUUUGUGCCCCUUCCAUCUGGCAGGAGGCUUAGGUCCAUCAGGACUAAGACCUCCCGCCACACGAACAGCUUCUUCCCGUCGGCAGUCGGGGUCAUCAACAGAGCCCGGUCCCCCACUGACUGACUC